rnacentral:rRNA from 1 species
AGUGAACGCUGGCGGUAGGCCUAACACAUGCAAGUCGAACGGCAGCACAGGAGAGCUUGCUCUCUGGGUGGCGAGUGGCGGACGGGUGAGGAAUACAUCGGAAUCUACCUUUUCGUGGGGGAUAACGUAGGGAAACUUACGCUAAUACCGCAUACGACCUACGGGUGAAAGUGGGGCCCGCCAGGCCUCACGCGAUUAGAUGAGCCGAUGUUCGAUUAGCUAGUUGGCGGGGUAAUGGCCCACCAAGUCGACGAUCGGUAGCUGGUCUGAGAGGAUGAUCAGCCACACUGGAACUGAGACACGGUCCAGACUCCUACGGGAGGCAGCAGUGGGGAAUAUUGGACAAUGGGCGCAAGCCUGAUCCAGCCAUACCGCGUGGGUGAAGAAGGCCUUCGGGUUGUAAAGCCCUUUUGUUGGGAAAGAAAUCCUGUCGAUUAAUACUCGGUGGGGAUGACGGUACCCAAAGAAUAAGCACCGGCUAACUUCGUGCCAGCCGCCGCCGUAACAC